GACAAUGUGGCCGAGGGGGGUUAAGGCGGCAGAUUCGAAAUCUGCUGGGGUUCCCCCGCGUAGGUUCGAAUCCUGCCAUUGUCG